AAUAGGCAAGAUCUAAAAGUUUGGAAUAUAUUUACUUCUAAAAGAUUAAAUAUUUACUUCAAAAAAUGUGGUUUAAUCUAUAUACAACCAAUCUCAUGUUGAUGCUUUCCAUAAUCGCAUCUAUUCCAGGACAUAAUAAUAAGCCGGGACUGUCUUUAUGGGGUGGAAAUUAAAUUAUGUAUAUUUUCUGCAAGUACAGAAUAAAGCAAAUAAUAAAAAAACAAUAACUUUAUCAUAUAUCAUUUCCUUGCUUGCCAUUCAAAAUAUCAGCUCCUCUAUUGGACGUUUAGAAGUCCUUGACAAAGGAGGGAGACAAGCUUCCAAAACUUGUUUAGCCGAUAAUUCAUAGAUAAAUAAGUAUAUCUAAUAGCCUUAACUAAUUCAUUUCGUCAUUGAUAAUAGGUUUUUAAUGUAGGUUCCAUAGUUAUGAUAACAAAUAAAUAAACAUACAUACAUAAUUUAUAAAUUUGAA